rnacentral:rRNA from 1 species
GACGAACGCUGGCGGCGUGCUUAACACAUGCAAGUCGAACGGAAAGGCCCUGCUUUUGUGGGGUGCUCGAGUGGCGAACUGGUGAGUAACACGUGAGUACCCUGCCCUUGCCUUUGGGAUAACUUCAGGAAACUGGGGCUAAUACCGGAUAGGAGCUCCUGCUGCAUGGUGGGGGUUGGAAAGUUUCGGCGGUUGGGGAUGGACUCGCGGCUUAUCAGCUUGUUGGUUGGGUAGUGGCUUACCAAGGCUUUGACGGGUAGCCGGCCUGAGAGGGUGACCGGCCACAUUGGGACUGAGAUACGGCCCAGACUCCUACGGGAGGCAGCAGUGGGGAAUAUUGCACAAUGGGAGGAAGCCUGAUGCAGCAACGCCGCGUGCGGGAUGACGGCCUUCGGGUUGUAAACCGCUUUCGCCUGUGACGAAGCGUGAGUGACGGUAAUGGGUAAAGAAGCACCGGCUAACUACGUG